rnacentral:rRNA from 1 species
UACGUAGGGGCAAGCGUUGUCCGGAAUCAUUGGCGUAAAGCGCGUGUAGGCGGUUUGAUAAGUCCGCUCUGAAAGUCCGGGGCUCAACCCCGGAAGGCGGGUGGAUACUGUCAGACUAGAGUGCGGAAGAGGCGAGUGGAAUUCCCGGUGUAGCGGUGAAAUGCGCAGAUAUCGGGAGGAACACCAAUUGCGAAGGCAGCUCGCUGGGCGUUACUGACGCUGAGACGGCGG